rnacentral:rRNA from 1 species
GACGAACGCUGGCGGCGUGCUUAACACAUGCAAGUCGAACGGAAAGGCCCUGCUUUUGUGGGGUGCUCGAGUGGCGAACGGGUGAGUAACACGUGAGUAACCUGCCCUUGACUUUGGGAUAACUUCAGGAAACUGGGGCUAAUACCGGAUAGGAGCUCCUGCUGCAUGGUGGGGGUUGGAAAGUUUCGGCGGGUGGGGAUGGACUCGCGGCUUAUCAGCUUGUUGGUGGGGUAGUGGCUUACCAAGGCUUUGACGGGUAGCCGGCCUGAGGGGGUGAACGGCCACAUUGGGCCUAAGAUGCGGCCCAGACUCCUACGGGAGGCAGCAGUGGGGAAUAUUGCACAAUGGGCGGAAGCCUGAUGCAGCAACGCCGCGUGCGGGAUGACGGCCUUCGGGUUGUAAACCGCUUUCGCCUGUGACGAAGCGUGAGUGACGGUAAUGGGUAAAGAAGCACCGGCUAACUACGUG